UAAGAGGUCCCGCCUGCCCUGUGACUCUUAGUUUAACGGCCGCGGUAUUUUGACCGUGCGAAGGUAGCGCAAUCACUUGUCUUUUAAAUGGAGACCUGUAUGAAUGGCACGACGAGGGCUUGACUGUCUCCUCUUUCAAGUCAAUGAAAUUGAUCUUCCCGUGCAGAAGCGGGAAUGACCUCAUAAGACGAGAAGACCCUGUGGAGCUUUAGACACCAAGGCGAAUCAUGUUAAAUACCCCCGGACAAGGGACUAAACCAGAUGAGUCCCGCCCUAAUGUCUUUGGUUGGGGCGACCGCGGGGAAACAAAAAACCCCCACGUGGAAUGGGAACACCCCCCUCCUACAAUUAAGAGCUACAGCUCUAAACAACAGAACUUCUGACCAGCAAGAUCCGGAAAUACCGAUCAACGAACCGAGUUACCCCAGGGAUAACAGCGCAAUCCCCUUUUAGAGCCCGUAUCAACAAGGGGGUUUACGACCUCGAUGUUGGAUCAGGACAUCCUAAUGGUGCAGCCGCUAUUAAGGGUUCGUUUGUUCAACG
rnacentral:rRNA from 1 species